rnacentral:rRNA from 1 species
UACGAAGGGGGCUAGCGUUGCUCGGAAUCACUGGGCGUAAAGCGCACGUAGGCGGAUUGUUAAGUCAGGGGGUGAAAUCCUGGAGCUCAACUCCAGAACUGCCUUUUGAUACUGGCGAUCUCGAGUCCGGGAGAGGUGAGUGGAACUGCGAGUGUAGAGGUGAAAUCGUAGAUAUUCGCAAGAACACCAGUGGCGAGGCGGCUCAC